rfam:Geminocystis sp. NIES-3709 DNA, complete genome.
AUAAAAACUUGGCGACAGCCGAAGACAGCAGGUGCGAAAAAGGCUUAAUUAUCCUGCCUAGGUUGAUGAGGAUAUUAAAAAAGUAAACGUGAUUUUCAGAUUAGUUUUAAUCUCAUCACUAUUUAUAAUUUAAAGAUUAUCUCGAUACAUCAACCGAAAACCCGUGCUAAUAGUUGCUAGGGUUUUUUUAAUUGUCUU